CAGUCUAGGAGAGAAUUGUAUCGAGGCUACAUACACUAGACAUUAGCGCCUUGGGGAAAUUCCUCGGAGAAACCGGUGCAAAGCACCCGGCGCGAAAGCUGCCGCCCCGCACAUCUGCACCCACAGCGAUGAUAUGAGCUAAAUGCGGAUAUGCGGUAUAUCUCCAAGCAAAGUUAUGCAAUGAUAACUCAAUGAGGAUUACUCCUCCUAGACA
rnacentral:RNase_MRP_RNA from 1 species